UAUCGCUCAGAUUUAGCAAUCUGGCCCCUUCCGUGUCCGAGUUGUAAUUUGAAGAUUGUAACCUUGGGGUUGGCUCUUGUCUAUGUUUCUUGGAACAGGACGUCACAGAGGGUGAGAAUCCCGUGCGAUGAGAUGCCCAAUUCUAUGUAAGGUGCUUUCGAAGAGUCGAGUUGUUUGGGAAUGCAGCUCUAAGUGGGUGGUAAAUUCCAUCUAAAGCUAAAUAUUGGCGAGAGACCGAUAGCGAACAAGUACAGUGAUGGAAAGAUGAAAAGAACUUUGAAAAGAGAGUGAAAAAGUACGUGAAAUUGUUGAAAGGGAAGGGUUUGAGAUCAGACUCGAUAUUUUGUGAGCCUUGCCUUCGUGGCGGGGUGACCCGCAGCUUAUCGGGCCAGCAUCGGUUUGGGCGGUAGGAUAAUGGCGUAGAAUGUGACUUUACUUCGGUGAAGUGUUAUAGCCUGCGUUGAUGCUGCCUGCCUAACCGAGGACUGCCCAUUUUAUCAACGAUGCUGGCAUUAAUGAUCCGUAAACC
rnacentral:rRNA from 1 species